AUUGAACGCUGGCGGCAGGCCUAACACAUGCAAGUCGAACGAGUGGCGGACGGGUGAGUAAUGUCUGGGAAACUGCCCGAUGGAGGGGGAUAACUACUGGAAACGGUAGCUAAUACCGCAUACCAUCUGAUGUGCCCAUAUGGGAUUAGCUAGUAGGUAGGGUAACGGCUCACCUAGGCGACGAUCCCUAGCUGGUCUGAGAGGAUGACCAGCCACACUGGAACUGAGACACGGUCCAGACUCCUACGGGAGGCAGCAGUGGGGAAGAUUGCACAAUGGGCGCAAGCCUGAUGCAGCCAUGCCACGUGUAUGAAGAAGGCCUUCGGGUUGUAAAGUACUUUCAGCGGGGAGGCGUUACCCGCAGAAGAAGCACCGGCUAACUCCGUGCCAGCAGCCGCUGUAAUAC
rnacentral:rRNA from 1 species